rnacentral:rRNA from 1 species
GGAGGCAGCAGUGGGGAAUAUUGCACAAUGGGCGCAAGCCUGAUGCAGCCAUGCCGCGUGUAUGAAGAAGGCCUUCGGGUUGUAAAGUACUUUCAGCGGGGAGGAAGGGAGUAAAGUUAAUACCUUUACUUAUUGACGUUACCCGCAGAAGAAGCACCGGCUAACUCCGUGCCAGCAGCCGCGGUAAUACGGAGGGUGCAAGCGUUAAUCGGAAUUACUGGGCGUAAAGCGCACGCAGGCGGUUUGUUAAGUCAGAUG